GCGUGAGUGAUGAAGGCCUUCGGGUUGUAAAGCUCUUUUGGCGGGGACGAUGAUGACGGUACCCGCAGAAUAAGCCCCGGCUAACUUCGUGCCAGCAGCCGCGGUAAGACGAAGGGGGCUAGCGUUGUUCGGAAUUACUGGGCGUAAAGCGAGUGUAGGCGGUUGCCCAAGUCAGGUGUGAAAGCCUUGAGCUCAACUCAAGAAAUGCACUUGGUACUGGGUGGCUAGAGGACCGGAGAGGAUAGUGGAAUUCCCAGUGUAGUGGUGAAAUACGU
rnacentral:rRNA from 1 species